AUUGAACGCUGGCGGCAGGCCUAACACAUGCAAGUCGGGCGAGCGGCGGACGGGUGAGUAAUGUAUGGGGAUCUGCCUGAUGGCGGGGGAUAACUACUGGAAACGGUAGCUAAUACCGCAUACCAUCAGAUGAACCCAUAUGGGAUUAGCUAGUAGGUGAGGUAACGGCUUACCUAGGCGACGAUCCCUAGCUGGUCUGAGAGGAUGAUCAGCCACACUGGGACUGAGACACGGCCCAGACUCCUACGGGAGGCAGCAGUGGGGAAUAUUGCACAAUGGGCGAAAGCCUGAUGCAGCGACGCCGCGUGGGGGAUGAAGGCUUUCGGGUUGUAAACCUCUUUCGCUAUCGAACGGGUAGGUGGAGAAGAAGCGCCGGCUAACUACGUGCCAGCAGCCGCGGUAAUAC
rnacentral:rRNA from 1 species